AGACGAGGACAGAUAAUUCAUAGGAAGAAACAGAACACUGGAGGCACGAAUGUUGCCAGUGACUUGACGCCCUUGAGUGUUGUCGCUGAGCCUUCGAGUGCAUUAUCUUCCAGCUGUGGAGGGUUCUUCAUCCCAACGGAGGAGGCUAAAACAAGCUUGGGAGCCUGGUUCCUGCUCGAUUCCAGGGAACGUGGGCAAGACAUCGUGCAUCUGAGCCAGUGGGUUGGGUCUUGGCUGAGGGUGUAAGAAUCCGUAGUGAAACCAAUGAGAAUCUUGGAAGGACCACUGGUUUCCAGAAUCAGCAUUGUCUAUGAAGCUGCAGGUGGUAAAGGAAAGGACCCUCUUGGCUAAGCCAUUCCCACAGUGGAACUCUUGAUACAGCUGUAGUCGCUGAUAACUCAGCACCAGGGUGCUUGGCUCCAUCUGUGUCUGUGAAGCCUGUGCCUCUGACAGGGGGUGGCUCAAGUCUCCACUCCAAGUCCCUUUGGGACAGGCGGCCUGGGUGAAAGCGGCUACAUCCAGAGCAGAGCACGUGAGCUGAUCCUCCAGUGAGGACGAGGUGCUGCUAUAAGGCUGGUGGCAGUCAUACAGUUCACGCUGACCUCAAGGAGUCGAGUAAAUUUCAUCCAGGGAAUCUUCUGGGGCUUCCUGCUCCUUCACCUCUAGUAACUCCUGGCUCAACCUGGGGGCACUGGUGCUUUCCCUUCCUCUUCCUCAUGAUAAUUUUGAUUUCCUGAAAGAAUGUUUAGAGUGUCCUUCCACUCAUCCUGAGAGCUUUCACUGUCUACAAUCAGACCAGAGUCAACUUUGUCUUCCUCAAAUGUGAGUUUGGUGCUUCUGUGAGGCUGGUUGGAGUUAGAAGGGCCGUAGCUGUUUGAACAAGUGGCAGCACAUUCCUCCAGUGAGUCCUGAGGGACUUCCUUUUCCUCAGCCGUCUGCACCUCGCUGGGCGCAGCUGAUUCCUGUGUUUUCUUGACCACCUCAUCUGUGUCAUCUUCCUCCUCCUCUUUAUCAUUUUCUGGAACUGGGCUGAGCUUGUUGACAUGACUCUCUGCCGGCUUUGCACCCUUUAGCCAGCUGCUCUUGGAGGUCCUGACCCUGGGACUUGUCAGGGUCAUCAGGAGUGAAGAGGGCCUUGAAAUGCUGAUUCAGUGAGCAGGAGGCAUCUCUCACUUCCCUUAACUUCUCCUGUAACUGGGUCAGCAGAUUUGCCUGAGAGUGAGCCAGGGCUUUAUAUUGCCUGAGCUCCUCAGCUUGCCUGAGCUCCUCUGCCAGCAUCUCCUCUGUGAACUACACUUUAUGCCUCAGCAGACAGUCUCUGAUGUGUUUGUAUUCUUCACACUCUCUGCACCCUGAGCAUGAAGGCCAACGGAUCCACUUGCUGAAUGGGAGUUUUCUUUUAAUCUUCUUUGGUUUCAGAACACUGGAGGCAUGAAUUUUGCCAGUGACUUGACGCCAUUGUGUGUUGUCUGCUGAGCCUUCGAGUGCAUCAUCUUCCAGCUGCGGAGGGUUCUUCAUCCCAACGGAGGGGGCUAAAACCAACUCUCUGUGCCCUGAGCAUGAAGUGUAUUUCUUCAGUUGCUUGGCCCGACAGUAGGCAGUAGCUUGACUUACAGGAAAUUUCUUUUUGAGGUCUUGGAACUGCUGUUGGCUCUCUGCCAGCUGGGAGCGCAAUUCCUGGUUGAUUUCUGGGAUGUUCAUC
rnacentral:lncRNA from 1 species